rnacentral:misc_RNA from 1 species
GAUGAAGAACGCAGCGAAAUGCGAUAAGUAAUGUGAAUUGCAGAAUUCAGUGAAUCAUCGAAUCUUUGAACGCACAUUGCGCCCCUUGGUAUUCCGAGGGGCAUGCCUGUUCGAGCGUCAUUAUAACCCCUCAAGCUCAGCUUGGUAUUGGGGCCUGCCAUCCUGGCAGCCCUUAAAAUCAGUGGCGGCGCCAUCUGGCUCUAAGCGUAGUAAUUCUUCUCGCUAUGGAGUCCUGGUGGAUGCUUGCCAUCAACCCCCAAUUUUUCUAUGGUUGACCUCGGAUCAGGUAGGGAUACCCGCUGAACUUAAGCAUAUCAAUAAGCGGAGGA